AUGCCGUGGUGUGGGUACGCAGUAAUGUACUCUUGGAAGCAUUCCCAAGCCUCCACGAUGGACUCAUCAUUGUUCUGCUAGAAGCUGGAAAUCUUGUUUCGGAGGGC